UACGAAGGGGGCUAGCGUUGUUCGGAUUUAUUGGGCGUAAAGAGCGUGUAGGCGGCCAUACAGGUCAGCUGUGAAAACUCGAGGCUCAACCUCGAGACGUCGGUUGAAACCGUUUGGCUAGAGUCCGGAAGAGGAGAGUGGAAUUCCCGGUGUAGCGGUGAAAUGCGCAGAUAUCGGGAAGAACACCCGUGGCGAAGGCGGCUCUCUGGGACGGUACUGACGCUGAGACGCGAAAGCGUGGGGAGCGAACAAG
rnacentral:rRNA from 1 species